rnacentral:rRNA from 1 species
UGGGGAAUAUUGCACAAUGGGCGCAAGCCUGAUGCAGCCAUGCCGCGUGUGUGAAGAAGGCCUUCGGGUUGUAAAGCACUUUCAGCGGGGAGGAAGGCGUUAAGGUUAAUAACCUUGGCGAUUGACGUUACCCGCAGAAGAAGCACCGGCUAACUCCGUGCCAGCAGCCGCGGUAAUACGGAGGGUGCAAGCGUUAAUCGGAAUUACUGGGCGUAAAGCGCACGCAGGCGGUCUGUCAAGUCGGAUGUGAAAUCCCCGGGCUUAACCUGGGAACUGCAUUGGAAACUGGCAGGCUAGAGUCUUGUAGAGGGGGGUAGAAUUCCAGGUGUAGCGGUGAAAUGCGUAGAGAUCUGGAGGAAUACCGGUGGCGAGGGCGGCCCCCUGGACAAAGACUGACGCUCAGGUGCGAAAGCGUGGGGAGCAAACAGG